rnacentral:rRNA from 1 species
UACGUAGGGUGCGAGCGUUGUCCGGAAUUAUUGGGCGUAAAGAGCUCGUAGGCGGCUUGUCGCGUCGGAUGUGAAAGCCCGGGGCUCAACCCCAGGCUUGCGGUCGAUACGGGCAGGCUAGAGUUCGGUAGGGGAGACUGGAAUUCCUGGUGUAGCGGUGAAAUGCGCAGAUAUCAGGAGGAACACCGGUGGCGAAGGCGGGUCUCUGGGCCGAUACUGACGCUGAGGAGCGAAAGCGUGGGGAGCGAACAGG